ensembl:lncRNA
CAGUUGGACAGGAUGUUUGGGUUUCAAAGUUCAUCCUGUGUCUGCCUCUAAAAAACAUACAUUUGUCAACACGUCAACACAAGUGCAUGACAAUGUCAAGGUAGGUUUGUUAUCAGAUUACAACCAUGUAUGUAGCUACACUCAUUGUUAAACGGAGCUAAAGUAAGACGUUUUAUAUCUUUAAGUACCUACCAUGAUACCGCCACAGACCAGGCAUGCAGCUAUUCCUGUAAAUCCACCAUGGCUACUCCCACCUCCAGAGGUUGAUCUACUAGUGUUGGAGAGACUACGGAAAGAUAGGGAGGGUGUUAAUCCAUCUGGAUACUGUGUAUCAGGAUUUUGUGGCCAUUUACACAGAUGGUUUCAAAGAUCCAAGAACACGACAUACUGGGUCAGCAUUUGUAGUGCAGGAACGUAUUACAGAUCAUCUGGCUGUAUAUACGGCUGAGCUGAUGGCCAUACUGUUGGCCUUGCAGUGGGUGGCGGAAGUCAAGCCAGACAGAGUAGUUAUUUGCUGUGAUUGAUGUGAGGUGUUGAUGAGUCAGCAGUCCUUUAGCUCAUGUAGCAGACAAUACCUGCUUUAUGAGGUACUACAAACUCAUGGCACUAUUAGACAGAUGGGUAUACAUAUCAGAUUCACUUGGGUCCCAGUCCAUGUGGGGGUGUAGGGGAAUGAGGCAGUUGAUGUUGUGGCUAAACAAGCACUUAGUAGUUGGGAUGUUAUAGUUUCAAUGAGCAAGGCAGAAGCAAAAAGCCUGAUAUUGACAGUGAUGGUGCCACGAUGGCAGGAGCAGUGGAAUAGAGCUAUGAAGGACAGGGAUUUAUUUCAAGUACAGAGGAAAGUCUGGGACGGGAGGACAGCAUGAAGGGGCAGAAGAGAGAUGGCUAUUUUUACAAGGUUAAGUGUGGGACACAACCGGUUGAAUAAGACUUUAAAAGGGAUAGGAAAACACCCAACAGGAAAGUGUGAUUAUUGCCAGGAAACAGACCAUGGAGCAUGCAUUGCUACAGUAUGGCAGUAUCAGAAGGAAAAGGAGAGGAUGAGAGCUAGUAUGAGGGAGAAGGAGAUACAGGAAAUUAGUUUUAAAAGUAUAUUGAGUAGAACUUCAUUGGUUAUAGUCUCAAAUAUUUUAUAUAUUUUUUAAGAUGAACGGGGCUGGCAGGAUUUAGUUUCUCCCUGUCUCUGGACCACACUCCAGUACAGUCGGUGGCGGUAAUGCAUCAUGACGAUGAAUUGUGAACCGAAGAUAAAGCUUACCGAAGAAGAAGCCCAGGCACGCGCAAAAAGUGGCGCACCAAGUUCUCGCAUCGAUUUUUCUACAUAGUAUGCUGUCGCCACUCUCUUGCGGUAAUUGUUCUACACAUUUUUAAAAGAAACCAAAAGCUUUCAAAAUAUUACGUAUUUUAUCACUAACAGAUGAGAGGACAGCUUAAGUACUUUUCCCGGACAUUACCCCUUCACUACAGUCCGCAUUUCUGUGUCCAGAUUGUAACAAAACAAGUGCAUGGCAAUGUCAAGGAGGGCAUGUAGUUUGCCCUCCCGGUGAUGCGUUGGGCAGAUCGUACCACCCUCUGUUGGUGAGACCUCAUCUCAUUGGUCCAGGAGGUGGGCUUCAGCACUCCUCACCUCAUCUCAGCCAGUCACAUCGAGGUCCACAACUGCGAGCUCAAAAGAAAGCUGGUACAUGCAUCUCCAUUACUGUCUUAAGGCUGCUUACUAUAGGAUGGAAACAGUAUGCAGUUCUUACGUUAACCUAACUUCACUAAUAACACAUUUAUUCAUGUCGUCUAGAAACAGUUAGUAUAAAAAAUGUAAGCCUAGUUGUGGCGGUCAUAGCAUUUUGUCAGCCGGUGAUUGUCAAGCAAAUAACUGCCGGUCUCACGGUAAUUGACCAUUAAUUAACAGCUGAAUUAAAUAGGAAAUAUAUUUUCUACAAAUGAUUUGAGGGAGGACGCACAUGCGGCUAUUCUGUGUUGAGCGGUUAACAGAGAAAUGGGUACUCCUAUGCUUCAUUUAGAGUUAUUAAUGUAACUUUAGUUGUGAUACAAAUGUUGGGCUAUAUGUUUAGAUUUUUAAUACAUUGUAAGGCUGCAUGAUGCGACUCUAAUGAUGAUUUGUAAAAAGUUAGAUGAAAGGCAUGAGCUCUGCUUUGUUUUUUUGUGCAGACUGUACACACUUCAUCAGUCUCUCAUUCACAAUCUGACAAGCACUUGACAAUGCCUCAAAUUACCUGGCUGUAUCACCUUUGUGUGGCCUUAAUCCCCCCCUGCAAAAAUCCAUCCCUUUUGUGCCCUUGGGCUGAAUAUAAUAAUUAUGAUCCCCUUCUCCCCGCUGCAUGCCGAAGCACCUCUCACUCACAUGGCUCUCAGUCACGUGAUCAGGUCUUUCUUACAGGCUACAAGUGAAGACAGACACAUCGGGGAGGCAACUGCGUGCAUCCUUAUCCAAUUCCGAGGCGCAUAUUGAAGAUUUUGGAAGAACUGUCCACAUUUACUUUUUGUCAGCCAACAAGAUGAGUAGGCCUAACGAAAAGCAAAAGCACUAGCCUAUGUCAAUCUACUGUCCCAAAUUAAUACAACCACAAGCAUUCAACAAACUGUUUUAAGCUGUGAGCCUGAUGCAACAGAUGAGAACGGUUAGCUUAAAAUGUUGAUAAACUAUUAGGCAAUUUCUUCACAUUAUAAGUUCAGCAAUGCGCACACAGCAGUAUUACCAGGAAAACACCAUUCUCAAAAGGGACCACAAAUGAGAUUAUGCAUGUAAUGCUUUUAUUAUAAAGGAGCAUUCUUAUCUUCCCCAAACAUGAAACUCACAUGCUGCGUAUGCAUGUCAGGCUCUACACCCUUUGUAAAUCGGAUUAAUUUUAAGAAGUUAUUUUGCCACUUUAGUUGUGAUACAAACCUUCUAGACCUAUGGGCUAGGCUACAUGAGGUGUGAUACAAACCUUAUCAAAACAUAUAGACCUAUGGGCUAGGCUACAUGAGGUGUGUGACUGAUUAGAAAAAGUUGCAAAAAAAAAGCAUGCACUGUUUGCCUUAAGCUGGCCAUCAUUCACAAGCCGUAAUAUAUCAUUCACAGGUGAUAGGCUAAUAUUGUCACCCAUCAGACUAUUUUUGAUUUAAACGUAACAUAUUCUAAAUAAUAUACAGUACCAGUCAAAAGUUUGGACACCUACUCAUUCCAGGGUUUGCCUUGAUUACAGCUUUGCACACUCUUGGCAUUCUCUCAACCAGCUUCAUGAGGUAGUCACCUGGAAUGCAUUUCAAUUAACAGGUGUGUCAUGUUAAGUUAAUUUGUGGAAUUUCUUUCCUUCUUAUUGCGUUUGAGCCAAUCAGUUGAGUUGUGACAAGGUAGGGGUGGUAUACAGAAGAUAACCCUAUUUGGUAAAAGACCAAGUCCAUAUUAUGGUAAGAACAGCUCAAAUAAGCAAAGAGAAACGACAGUCCAUCAUUACUUUAAGACAUGAAGGUCAGUCAAUACGGAAAAUUUCAAGAACUUUGAAAGUUUCUUCAAGUGCAGUCGGAAAACCAUCAAACACUAUGAUGAAACUGGCUCUCAUGAGGACCGCCUUAGGAAAGGAAGACCCAGAGUUACCUCUGUUGCAGAGAAUAAGUUCAUUAGAGUUACCAGCCUUAGAUAUUGCAGCCCAAAUAAAUGCUUCACAGAGUUCAAGUAACACACAUCUCAACGUCAACUGUUCAGAGGAAAAGGCGUGAAUCAGGCUUUCACGGUCGAAUUGCUGCAAAGAAGCCACUACUAAAGGACACCAAUAAUAAGAAGAGACUUGCUUGGGCCAAGAAACACAAGCAAUGGACAUUAGAAAUGUGAUAUUUUUGGUUACAACCACUGUGUCAUGUGAGAUGCAGAGUAGGUGAUCGGAUGAUCUCUCCAUGUGUGGUUCCCACUGUGAAUUAAGGAGGAGGUGUGACAGGUGAUUUAUUUAGAAUUCAAGGCACACUUAACCAGCAUGGCUACCAAAGCAUUCUGCAGCUAUAUGCAAUCCUAUCUGGUUUGCACUUAGUGCGACUAUCAUUUGUUUUUCAACAGGACAAUGACCCAACAUACCUCCAGGCUGUGUAAGGGCUAUUUGACCAAGAAGGAGAGUGAUGGAGUGCUGUAUCAGUUGAGAUAGUUUGGGAUGAGUUGGACCGCAGAGUGAAGGAAAAACAGCCAACAAGUGCUCAGCAUAUGUGGGAACUCCUUCAAGACGGUUGGAAAAGUAUUCCAGGUGAAGCUGGUUGAGAGAAUGCAUUGAGUGUGCAUGAUUCCAUAUGUGUUAUUUCAUAGUUGAUGUCUUCACCAUUAUUCUACAGUGUAGAACAUAGUAAAAAUAAAGAAAAAUCCUUGAAUGAGUAGGUGUGUCUAAACCUUUGACUGGUACUGCAUGUGUGAAAUUUGACCAUUAUCAUGCUCCUGUCUCAAAACAGGGGCAGAGAGAAUAAAAUACAUGACUGCACUUAAAUUGCGAAUGGAGGAUGUUUUUCCCAUGUUUCAUUUUGAUGCCAGCCAGGUAAGCAAAACUCCUGUUUCAAAGAUAAGCAAUGUGCUUAAAAUUUGGAAGGUUGAGAAAUAAAUAUAGUUGGCCUAGCCUAUCGAAAGCUGAUUGGAUCCUCAGUUUUCUCACGCAAUUGCAUAGCCUAAAUAAAUGUUGCGCAACAUGAGCUCAUGGGCUCUCAUGAAGUGUUUUGAUUAGAAUUUCGAUGACAUUUGCAGUGAUGUCAGAGUGAUUAGAGGGACAAUAGUGUGGAGUACCAGGCAGUUAGCACGUUUGGUAGGCUAGUAAUGACCAUCAGCAGCAUCAGAGCUUAGAGAAGCCUAAUUACCGUGACUAAACGGUCACAUGGAAUUGAACUGCAAUCAUGACUCAUGAACGCCGGUGUGGCAGUAAUGUGGUCACCUUUACAGCCCUAAUCCUAGGCAGUCACGUCCAUUUCCAAUGUGUUGCAGGUGAUAUUAGCUAUGCAUCUGGCACUUACCGGCUCUUCAAAUUGCCCAAAAAGCUUGAGAUGUCAAUCGCAAUAGUGACCUACAAGGGAAGUGUGUCUGACUACCCUUGUCAGCUGUAGUUUGACUCCUCCCACUGCUUCAAGAAAAACGCUGCAGGUCGACGGGGUUAUCUUCCAGUGCUCUCUCUUCUCCCCAGACUUCUGCAUCCAGAAGUAUGGCCACCUCAGCCCUUUCUUGCUGUGCUGCUCGGUGAAUCAAUGCUCCAAGACAGGCAAAGCCCCAGUAGCCUGUGGAGAGACCUAACUUAACGACACCACAUCCAUGAUGGAACCUCCUUAGAGAGCCGGGGUGUAUGGCCCAAUAAUCUUGCCUUCCUGCUGAAGUGUGCAUUCACUACUUCCCACAAAUCUAAAAGCAUUGGAUUGUUGUUUGCCUGGGAUAUUGGGAGUUUCCAUAUUUAUAGUGAUAAUUCCCAAGAAGCCGGUGUUUGUUGGAUAUGUUGGCAUGGUGUUGUUAGGCCCGAGACCAAAUCGAGGACUGGCAAACCAUGCCAAUAUAUCCAACAAACACCAGCUUCGAGGGCAUUAUCACUUGUACACGGGUUACCAACAUAUUCAAAUAAUGAUCGACAUUUUCAUUAAAAACGUUAUUUUUAUACAUUUAUUUGUACAAUUUCAUCCUUCCACAAGAUAUAGUCCCUACACAAAUCUAGGGUUGCUCGAGACGCGACC